GUAACGUAGGGGCAAGGCGUUGUCCGGAUUUAUUGGGCGUAAAGAGCGUGUAGGCGGCCAUACAGGUCCGUUGUGAAAACUGGAGGCUCAACCUCGAGACGUCGAUGGAAACCAUCUGGCUAGAGUCCGGAAGAGGAGAGUGGAAUUCCUGGUGUAUCGGUGAAAUGACGCAGAUAUCUGGAGGAAUACCGGUGGCGAAGGCGGCUACCUGGCCCCAAUACUGACACUCAGGUGCGACAGCGUGGGGAGCAAACAGGG
rnacentral:rRNA from 1 species